UACCAACGAUCGUUCGGGAAUUCCGCGUCGCUGAUCGUUCUCCGAUUGUCAUAACUGAAUUUGCCGAAGAGAGAAAUGUCGACGUGUCGCGCGCGCUCGGACUUUCAUAAAAAAUUCUUUAUCGAAGUCGCUCUCGUUGAAGGUGAAGUGGCGAUAGAGCUCGUCGAUGAAAACAGCAACACGAUACGGCGACGAUGGUCAGUAUUGAGUCGUUGAGCGGAAUGGCGUAUGGUACAACUCACUUCUUUUAGUUUAACAGGCAAAAGAGAAGUUUUACGAGAGAGUUACCUUCCUAACGUAAAACCUGGUUAUUUCGUCGUCAUAAUUCUUCGCCGUGGUCGUACUAUAAAGAGAACAGUCUGAGAACUCACAUUACGUUCUAACAAUGAAGGCACUGAAAUGCAUUUCUACAUGAAAGACUCGCCGGGAAGUGGGCACCAACGGGUCCCGCUGUUGGAUAGAGCUGUGACGCGCAAGGGAGUUCACAGGAAGACGUGUUUGGAGUUUGGACUUGUCCGGAGGCGCGGAUGCGUUAAGCUGGACAUGACACUAUGAAACUAAAUACGGAUCACAUCGGGCCCGUCGAGAUUCUCCGUGAUUCAAAAAGUGUCACAGGCCAUCCUAUGUCACGGCACUCUCUCACUUAAUUUUCGUUAAGAUCGAUCUUACGGGUCGGAUCAAUAGCGAGACAAUAUCGCCUUACAGACGCCCUCUUCUAUCCACACCAUAUUGGGUUGCAAUGAAAUCACGCGAUAAGUUUAGGUUUCUAUUUCCUUUCACAUAAAAACACGGAACAAAUAAAAAUAGAGCGUCGUACUCUUUUUUUUUAUUUCUCUUAUGCAACAAACGGAUCGAAAUCAAUUUGCGAUAAAUUCCUUAUAAUUGACAGUUGAAGUUAUUCAGUGUUCAUAAAGUACAGAGAAGAUAUCGUAGCUAGAUAAAUUGCAGUAGAUAAGUGAUACACUAAUGCGAGAAAAAAAUAUGUGUAUGAAAUUGUCACUAUCUUGGCGAUAAUAAAAAUAAGUUUUUCAAA